rnacentral:rRNA from 1 species
AACCCGCCAUCGAAUGAGGCAAGACUACCCGCUGAACUUAAGCAUAUCACUAAGCGGAGGAGAAGAAACUAACCAGGAUGCCCCUAGUAAUGGCGAAUGAAGCGGGCUGAGCUCACGCUGCCAAUCUGGAGGCCUCGCGUAUGCAGCGCCCCCCGAAUUGUGGUCUAGAGAGGCGUUAUCGGCCGCGCCCGCCGCUCAAGUCCCUUGGAACAGGGUGUCGGAGAGGGUGAGAAUCCCGUACCGUGGCGGGUUGCGGCCUUACGAUGCGUCCUCGUCGAGUCGGGUUGCUUGGGAUUGCAGCUUGAAUUGGGUGGUAAAUUCCAUCUAAAGCUAAAUACUGGCGAGAGACCGAUAGCGAACAAGUACCGUGAGGGAAAGAUGCAAAGAACUUUGAAAAGAGAGUCAAAGAGUGCUUGAAAUCGGUAGGAGGAAACCCGGAUGGGCCCGGCUUCGGCGCGCCGACUCAGCCUGGGGUUCUCCCCAGGUGCACUUCUGCGCGCCGGGUCAGCCGCGCCUCGGCGCCGCGCCUCAACCCGGGAGCGGGGCUUUACGGCCAGCUCCCGUCCUGGCGCGGCCCGGGGCCCGGCUGACGGAACGGGCCCCUCCGACCCGUCUAGAAACACGGACCAAGGAGUCUGACACGUGUGCGAGUACCCGGGUGGCAAGCCCGCGUGCGGAAUGAAAGUGAAGGGCAUGCCCUGCCAACCGACCUUGACCUUCUGUGAGGGGUUUGAGUGGAGCACACCUGUCGGGACCCGAAAGAUGGUGAACUAUGCCUGGGUAGGGUGAAGCCAGAGGAAACUCUGGUGGAGGCUCGUAGCGAUACUGACGUGCAAAUCGUUCGUCGAAUCUGGGUAUAGGGGCGAAAGACUAAUCGAACCAUCUAGUAGCUGGUUCCCUCCGAAGUUUCCCUCAGGAUAGCUUGAACGCAACGGUUUUGUCAGGUAAAGCGAAUGAUUAGAGGCCUGUGGGCUGAAACAGCUUGCACCUAUUCUCAAACUUUAAAUGGGCAAGAGGCCCGGGAUGCUUGAGUGAUCCCGGGCGGCGAACGGCGCGUUCAAAGUGGGCCAUUUUUGGUAAGCAGAACUGGCGAUGCGGGAUGAACCGAACGCCGCGCUAAGGUACCCAAGUGUCCGCUCAUCAGAUACCACAAAAGGCGUUGGUACCUCCAGACAGCAGGACGGUGGCCAUGGAAGUCGGAACCCGCUAAGGAGUGUGUAACAACUCACCUGCCGAAGGUACUAGCCCUGAAAAUGGAUGGCGCUCAAGCGGACCACCGAUGCGCGGCCGCCGGCGCGAGCGCGAGGCGCCGGCGAGUAGGAGGGCGCGGGGCUCGCGGCGCAGCCUUGGGCGCGAGCCUGGGUGAAGCGGGCCCCGGUGCAGAUCUUGGUGGUAGUAGCAAAUAUUCAAAUGAGAACUUUGAAGACUGAAGUGGAGAAAGGUUCCGUGUGAACAGCAGUUGGACACGGGUGAGCCGACCCUAAGAGACAGGAAAACUCCGCCGAACGCGGCUGGUUCUGUCAGCCCGUCCGUCGAAAGGGAAUCGGGUUAAUAUUCCCGAGCCAGCGCGUGGAUGGUGGGCGGCGACGCGAACGAACCCGGAGACGCCGGCGGGAGCCCUGGGAAGAGUUCUCUUUUCUUCUUAACUGCCUCCUGCCCUGGAAUCGGUUUAGCCGGAGCGAGGGCUACACGGCAGGCAAAGCACCCUAAGUCUUGGGGUGUCCGGCGCGCUCCCGACGGCCCGUGAAAAUCCGGGGGAGCGGUUCGUUCUCACGCCUGGUCGUACUCAUAACCGCAUCAGGUCUCCAAGGUGAACAGCCUCUAGUCGAUAGAGCAAUGUAGGUAAGGGAAGUCGGCAAAAUGGUUCCGCAACCUCGGGAGAAGGAAUGGCUCUGAAGGCUGGGCGCAGGGGUCCUAGGCUCGAGGCCGGCUGGCUGCGCGGGGACUACGGCCUCACGGCUGCGGAUCCCGCGCGGCCGUCCGGCGGACGGCCUAGGAGCGCUCCGGCUCUCCCUGCGCGACGAACAGCCGCUUCAGAACUGGCGCGGACAAGGGGAAUCCGACUGUUUAAUUAAAACAAAGCAUUGCGAUGGCCCGCGAGGGUGCUGACGCAAUGUGAUUUCUGCCCAGUGCUCUGAAUGUCAAAGUGAAGAAAUUCAACCAAGCGCGGGUAAACGGCGGGAGUAACUAUGACUCUCUUAAGGUAGCCAAAUGCCUCGUCAUCCAAUUAGUGACGCGCAUGAAUGGAUUCGUGAGAUUCCCACUGUCCCUAUCUACUGUCUAGCGAAACCACAGCCAAGGGAACGGGCUUGGAAGAAUCAGCGGGGAAAGAAGACCCUGUUGAGCUUGACUCUAGUCUGUUACUGUGGAACGACUUGAUGGGUGUAGAAUAUGCGGGAGGGGCAACCCGACAGUGAAAUACCGCAACCGUCAACGUUGUUUUACUUACUCGGUGGCGCGGAGGGAGGCUCGCCUCACUUCUGGAUCCAAGCCGCUUCGUGCGCGCGAUCCGCGUCGGGGACACUAACAGGUGGGGAGUUUGGCUGGGGCGGCACGUCUGUUAAAAAAUAACGCAGGCGCCCGAUUUUGAGCUCAAUGAGAACAGAAAUCUCAUGUGGACCGAAAGGGGAAAAGCUCGGUUGAUUUUGAUUUUCAGUACGAAUACAAACCGCGAAAGCGUGGCCUAUCGAUCCUCUCGUCUUUGGGAAUUUCAAGCUAGAGGUGUCAGAAAAGUUACCACAGGGAUAACUGGCUUGUGGCUGCCAAGCGUUCAUAGCGACGUAGCUUUUUGAUCCUUCGAUGUCGGCUCUUCCUAUCACUGCCUCGCAGCGGGGGCCAAAUGCAGGAUUGUUCACCCACCAACAGGGAACGUGAGCUGGGUUUAGACCGUCGUGAGACAGGUUAGUUUUACCCUACUGCUGUCUGUUUUUCUACGGUAAUUUGGUUCAGUACGAGAGGAACCACCAAUUCGCAUCAUCGGUAUAGCCGCCGCCGGAAACGGCGAUGCGGCGAAGCUGCCAUGCGCCGGAUUAUAACUGAACGCCUCUAAGUUAGAAUCCAUGCCGGAAGGAAAGCCACCUACCGGCCCGGGGACGCCACGAGCAACGGUAGCACUGCCUGAGCCGCGAGCGACCACAAUUCACGGACCCGGGCCGACGAAUCCCUUGCAGACGACUUG